rnacentral:rRNA from 1 species
UAGCAUAUCAAUAAGCGGAGGAAAAGAAACCAACAGGGAUUGCCCUAGUAACGGCGAGUGAAGCGGCAACAGCUCAAAUUUGAAAUCUGGCUCCCUUGGGAGUCCGAGUUGUAAUUUGUAGAGGGUGCUUUGGUGUUAGCUGUGGUCUAAGUCCCUUGGAACAGGGCGUCACAGAGGGUGAGAAUCCCGUACGUGGCCAGCAGUUUUCACCUUGUAAAGCCCCUUCGACGAGUCGAGUUGUUUGGGAAUGCAGCUCUAAAUGGGAGGUAAAUUUCUUCUAAAGCUAAAUACUGGCCAGAGACCGAUAGCGCACAAGUAGAGUGAUCGAAAGAUGAAAAGCACUUUGGAAAGAGAGUCAAAAAGCACGUGAAAUUGUUGAAAGGGAAGCGCUUGCAGCCAGACUUGCCCGUAGUUGCUCAUCUAGGCCUUGUGUCUGGUGCACUCUUCUGCGGGCAGGCCAGCAUCAGUUCAGGCGGUCGGAUAAAGGCUCUGGGAAUGUGGCUCCUCUCGGGGAGUGUUAUAGCCCAGGGUGUCAUGCGGCCAGCUUGGACUGAGGUCCGCGCUUCUGCUAGGAUGCUGGCGUAAUGGCUGUAAGCGGCCCGUCUUGAAACACGGACCAAGGAGUCUAACAUCUAUGCGAGUGUUUGGGUGUCAAGCCCGAGCGCGUAAUGAAAGUGAACGGAGGUGGGAACCCCUUGGGGUGCACCAUCGACCGAUCCUGAUGUCUUCGGAUGGAUUUGAGUAAGAGCAUAGCUGUUGGGACCCGAAAGAUGGUGAACUAUGCCUGAAUAGGGUGAAGCCAGAGGAAACUCUGGUGGAGGCUCGCAGCGGUUCUGACGUGCAAAUCGAUCGUCAAAUUUGGGCAUAGGGGCGAAAGACUAAUCG